rnacentral:tRNA from 1 species
GGAGAGAUGGCUCAGUGGUUAAGAGCACUGCUGCUUUUCCAGAGGACCUGGGUUCGAUUCCCAGCACCA